UGUCCCCAUCCAACCCAGCUUCCUGCAUAACCUCCCCACCACUGGCUGCCCUAGGUCUGUCUGUGUGCCUCCCACACAGGAAACUCACCUGUCAGGCUGCCAGCUCUGUGUUUUGCAUUGAGUGGCCUCCCAUACCCACCGGCCUACAUAAACCACCCUGGGUUUCAGCUUCCGGAUUGCUGAAGGUCUGGGUGUUAGGGUGAGGGAGGCUCUUCCUUUUUGCCCUCUACAUGAGCUGAGCACCCUGGGUGUUUCACAGGGGCUGGCUGUGGGCAAUGGACUCUCCUCCUAUGAGCAGAAUGACAACUCCCUGGUCUACUUUGCCUACUACCAUGGCCUUCUGGGGAACAGGCUUUGGUCUUCUCUCCAGACCCACUGCUGCUCUCAAAACAAGUGUAACUUCUAUGACAACAAAGACCCGGAAUGCGUGACCAAUCUUCAGGAAGUGGCCCGCAUCGUGGGCAACUCUGGCCUCAACAUCUACAAUCUCUAUGCCCCGUGUGCUGGAGGGGUGCCCAGCCAUUUUAGGUAUGAGAAGGACACUGUUGUGGUCCAGGAUUUGGGCAACAUCUUCACUCGCCUGCCACUCAAGCGGACGUGGCAUCAGGCACUGCUGCGCUCAGGGGAUAAAGUGCGCAUGGACCCCCCCUGCACCAACACAACAGCUGCUUCCACCUACCUCAACAACCCGUACGUGCGGAAGGCCCUCAACAUCCCGGAGCAGCUGCCACAAUGGGACAUGUGCAACUUUCUGGUAAACUUACAGUACCGCCGUCUCUACCGAAGCAUGAACUCCCAGUAUCUGAAGCUGCUUAGCUCACAGAAAUACCAGAUCCUGUUAUAUAAUGGAGAUGUAGACAUGGCCUGCAAUUUCAUGGGGGAUGAGUGGUUUGUGGAUUCC
rnacentral:sRNA from 1 species